UACAGAGGGUGCAAGCGUUGCUCGGAAUCAUUGGGCGUAAAGGGCAGGUAGGUGGUCUGAUUUGUCUGGAGGUGAAAUCCUUGAGCUUAACUCAAGAAGUGCCCCGGAAACGGUCAGACUUAUGAGUCUUGGAGAGGGUGGCGGAAUUCCCGGUGUAGCGGUGAAAUGCGUAGAUAUCAGGAGGAACACCGGUGGUGUAGACGGCUUUCUGGACCGUAACUGACGCUGAGACACGAAAGCGUGGGUAGCAAACAGG
rnacentral:rRNA from 1 species